AUCUUUGCGCUUGGGGCAAUAACGCAAUUAGCGAGGUACUAAUCGAGGCGCGUCUAUUGCUGGUUGAAAACUUUUUCCAAACCCCUUCUUUGGCCUGCGUUUGAGCUCAGGCCACUGAGAAUUUUUGGAAGGGCUCCUCAUGGGGUAAAGCC